rnacentral:rRNA from 1 species
UCAUCUUCGGGGGUAGAGCACUGUUUCGGCUAGGGGGUCAUCCCGACUUACCAACCCGAUGCAAACUACGAAUACCGAAGAAUGUUAUCACGGGAGACACACGGCGGGUGCUAACGUCCGUCGUGAAGAGGGAAACAACCCAGACCGCCAGCUAAGGUCCCAAAGUCAUGGUUAAGUGGGAAACGAUGUGGGAAGGCACAGACAGCCAGGAUGUUGGCUUAGAAGCAGCCAUCAUUUAAAGAAAGCGUAAUAGCUCACUGGUCGAGUCGGCCUGCGCGGAAGAUGUAACGGGGCUAAACCAUGCACCGAAGCUGCGGCAGCGACACUAUGUGUUGUUGGGUAGGGGAGCGUUCUGUAAGCCUGCGAAGGUGGCCUGUGAGGGUUGCUGGAGGUAUCAGAAGUGCGAAUGCUGACAUAAGUAACGAUAAAGCGGGUGAAAAGCCCGCUCGCCGGAAGACCAAGGGUUCCUGUCCAACGUUAAUCGGGGCAGGGUGAGUCGACCCCUAAGGCGAGGCCGAAAGGCGUAGUCGAUGGGAAACAGGUUAAUAUUCCUGUACUUGGUGUUACUGCGAAGGGGGGACGGAGAAGGCUAUGUUAGCCGGGCGACGGUUGUCCCGGUUUAAGCAUGUAGGCUGGUUGUCCAGGCAAAUCCGGAUAAUCAAGGCUGAGGUGUGAUGACGAGGCACUACGGUGCUGAAGUAACAAAUGCCCUGCUUCCAGGAAAAGCCUCUAAGCAUCAGGUAACAUCAAAUCGUACCCCAAACCGACACAGGUGGUCAGGUAGAGAAUACCAAGGCGCUUGAGAGAACUCGGGUGAAGGAACUAGGCAAAAUGGUGCCGUAACUUCGGGAGAAGGCACGCUGGUGUGUAGGUGAAGCCCCUGCGGGUGGAGCUGAGACCAGUCGAAGAUACCAGCUGGCUGCAACUGUUUAUUAAAAACACAGCACUGUGCAAACACGAAAGUGGACGUAUACGGUGUGACGCCUGCCCGGUGCCGGAAGGUUAAUUGAUGGG